rnacentral:rRNA from 1 species
CAGCCGCCGCGGUAAUACCGGCGGCCCGAGUGGCGGCCACUAUUAUUGGGCUUAAACCGUCCGUAGCCGGGUUGGUUCGUCUCCCGGGAAAUCUGGCCGCUUAUCGGUCAGAAUUUCGGGGGAUACUGCCAGCCUAGGGACCGGGAGAGGCCGAGGGUAUUCCCGCAGUAGGGGUGAAAUCCUAUAAUCUCGGGAGGACCACCUGUGGCGUAGGCGCUCGGCUGGAACGGGUCCGACGGUGAGGGACGAAGGCCAGGGGAGCAAACCGGAUUAGAUACCCGGGUAGUCCUGGCUGUAAACGAUGCGGACUUUGUGUCGGACAAGCUAUGAGCUUGUCGGGUGCCGGAUGGAAACCGUUAAGUCCGCCGCCUGGGGAGUACGGCCGCAAGGCUGAAACUUAAAGGAAUUGGCGGG